rnacentral:snRNA from 1 species
AGAAGUAGGAUGUGAGGGACAUCUGUCACCCCAUUGAUCACCAGGGUUGAUUCAGCUGAUCUCGCUGGCUAGGCGGGUGCCCCCUUCCUCUCUUACUGCUCCAUGUGCGUCCCUCCCAAAGCUGCAUGCUAGGUGGAGCUUUAGCAGUGAUCAGUGGAAGAGGACGACCAUCCCAGAAAGAAAGACUGUACCGUUCUUCGGCCAAGGGUAUACGAUAGCUGCGCUCAACGGUGGAACCAGCAGUAUGGAUGGGCUUGGGUGCCUCCAUCCCU